rnacentral:rRNA from 1 species
AACGAACGCUGGCGGCAUGCCUAACACAUGCAAGUCGAACGAGACCUUCGGGUCUAGUGGCGCACGGGUGCGUAACGCGUGGGAACCUGCCCUUAGGUUCGGAAUAACUCCCCGUAAGGGGUGCUAAUACCGGAUAAUGUCUUCGGACCAAAGAUUUAUCGCCUUUGGAUGGGCCCGCGUUGGAUUAGCUAGUUGGUAGGGUAAAAGCCUACCAAGGCGAGGAUCCAUAGCUGGUCUGAGAGGAUGAUCAGCCACACUGGGACUGAGCCCCGGCCCAGACUCGAGGGGGAGGCGGAGGGGGGAAUAUUGGACAAUGGGCGAAAGCCUGAUCCAGCAAUGCCGCGUGAGUGAUGAAGGCCUUAGGGUUGUAAAGCUCUUUUACCCGGGAUGAUAAUGACAGUACCGGGAGAAUAAGCUCCGGCUAACUCCGUG